UAAUUCUAGAGCUAAUACAUGCUGCAAUGCCCGACUUUGCGGAAGGGCGGUAUUUAUUAGAUAACAAGCCAAUAUUCCUUGUGUCUAUUGUGGUGACUCAUAAUAACUGAUCGAAUCGCAAGGCCUACGGCCGCGAUAAGUCAUUCAAGUUUCUGCCCCAUCAGCUUUCGAUGGUAGUGUAUUGGACUACCAUGGCAAUAACGGGUAACGGAGAAUUAGGGUUCGAUUCCGGAGAGGGAGCCUGAGAAACGGCUACCACAUCUAAGGAUGGCAGCAGAGGCGUAAAUUACCCAAUCCUGACUCAGGGAGGUAGUGACAAGAAAUAACGAACCGUGACAUUGUUACGGGAUU
rnacentral:rRNA from 1 species